rnacentral:lncRNA from 1 species
CUGUAAUUAUGUUAUCUUCUUCUCUGAUCUCAUUGUAUAAAUAGCUGGUAGAUACUUUGCGUUGUAACUAAGUCUCAUUCUUCUCAAUCAAAGCAAGAAUUCAGUUCUAUUCUCUCAAACUUUGCUUUCCUUUUCGUAAACCCUAAUUGAUCUUGCUGAUCAUCUCUGAUGCCAUGGCUAGAGAUGUUGAGAAAUAUAAUAACUCUAAGGACCUUAGUCAUGAACUUAGACUUAUGUAUAUAUAAAUAAUCAGUAUUCCAUCUAACGCACUAGCAGUAGUUGUUGCACUUGGAGAAGAGGGAUCGGGGUCCUCAUGGGGAGGGUGGAAUAUGCAUGGAGUCCUUGUAUGUGAACCUUACGAAAGUUAAACAUCAUAUUUAAGGUUUGAUUUGGUCUCCAGUCAAAUUACGUAGGAGAAUUGGAUAUGACUAUGAAUCUAUGAUCUAUGAUACAUAUGAUUUGUCUGUUCUCACACACAUCGGCAUAUCAAAUCGUUUUCAUUCACUGAAUUUCUCCGAAACAAAGAAAUUGAAGUUUGUUUAUACAUGAAAUUAAUAAACCAAGCUUAAUUAAUUGAAUUGAGUUUGUAUGCCUGGGUAAAAUUCAAUGGUGUGACGUUGAGAAGUUAUUGAAGGGUACCAAGCAGGUGAAUGUUAAGAAGUGAAUGAAUAUAAAAAAGCGAAGCGAGAAUGCGAGAGAAAGAAAAACUAGGGUUUCCUCUCUUGUCCAACAGCGAGCCCUUCCGCAAUUAUCGGACAGGCUUUUGCCAACCCCUCUUGGGUUUGUGGUGAGCGGGGCCUCGAUGGACGUCUCUCAUUCGAAUCAAGGAGUUACGGUGGCGAGUUGCGAGGUAGGGGCAGGGGAAAACAGGGCGGCUGGUCGGGUUUGGCUUAUACCCUUCUAGCCUGAUCAGCGAUAAGCGAGGGCGCGAUGACGGCAAUUGCUAGCCGAGGCGGCGUGGCUGGACUCGGUCCCAAGGCAAAGCUUGUUUAGAUCUGGAUGGUGGAUAUCUCUGGGUCGUGGUGGUGUGACUUGGAUUGACUUGGUCCCAAGGCGAAGAUUGCUUUUUAUUUUCAGUUUUGUUUUUGUCUCGCCUUUGGCGUAUAAUAAGUCAUUGCAGGUAUCUUGCGGGACUACAUGAGUUUCAUCUCGGUGUAUGCACUUUACGUGCCUAGUCUGCUCUAGGCAGGCGGCGAGUUUUUAUUUCGUCAAAUGGUUGUUGCCGCCUAUUGGUAGGGUGAAACUAAGGGUUGUCGGAUUCAAUUUCCGGCGGCAACAUAGUUAAAAAGUUGAUUUAUUAGACAUUAGGAUGUGUGAGCGUGUUACAUAUCUACUGAUAUUUCUCGCAUGUCACCGUUUUGUGAAAGUAAAUAAAGUUGCCGGUAGAGCAUUACUCUUUGCUAUUGGUAUGGUGAAACUAAUGGUCGUCAGAUUCAUUUUUCGGCGGCAACAUAGUUAGGAAGUUGAUUUAUUAGACAUUAGAAUGUGUUAGCGUGUUACAAAUCUACUGAUAUUUUCAAUGUGUCGCCGCUUUGUGAAAGUAAAUAAAGUUGCUAGUAGAGCAUUACUUUUUAUUAGUUGAUGCCUAUUUGAGUACAUGUUUGUACGUAAGGAAUUCUAAUAUUAUUUCAGGUCUCUUUAUAAUCAGAGGUUUAAGUUUUAUAUCCCCCCCUUACAUUUAAUCAAAGCUUCAGAGCAGCCGCACCUGCCAUUCUUUUCAAAAAAA